rnacentral:lncRNA from 1 species
AUUAAAUAUGAAAGCAAACAGAUAAUUCAGACCUUCAAGAACUCUGAAAUUGUAUCUCCAGUAUGCCUUUUCUGUGGAAGAUCUUUGAGGAUAUACUCCAAUUAAAUGAGGGAGAAAACUGUAAUAGAUGAAGAGAUGAAUGCAGUUGCAGCCAAAUCACCUUAUUUAAAUGCAUCAUUACUGGACACUUCAAUGGUUUCUCCAUUUGAACACUGAAUUUUACUUUACUUCAAAUAUACUGGCACAAGCAGUCUACAUCAUUCAUGAUUUACCUGUUUUACUGUAUUAAAGUAAUAAUUUUACCCAUCUUCAAAGCCAUAUGCAUUACAUUAUUGCUACCAUGAGAAUUUAUGUAAACAAUGGGUAAUUGUUCCUGUCCAUGUGACCUUGUGCUAAUAAUUAUUCUAAAAUUGAAAUUUUUUUCUUUUCAUUGCUAUUCAUUACUUUUUUGUUUUUAAACAGGCAGCUUUCGAUUGCCAGAUUUAAGAGUGUGUUCGUUAGCAAAGCUGCCCUAGUUGAUUGACAUAGGUGUCCAAUGGCUUUCUCUGUCUUUCCUUGAUAGUAUUUCUAUGAGGAAUUUCAUUGUAUUACUCUGAUGCUGCUGAGAAUUUCCCUGCCUGCUUUUGUUACUUUGGCCUCCACUGUCACCUGACUUCCAUAGCAGAUGUCCACUCAAACCCUAGUCUUUCUACCUACAAUGCCAGUGAAAAUUUUAGCCUCCUUUCACUUUCUUCCUCUUCCUUCCCCUACUGGGGACCCUGACUCUUCAGACACAUUAGCAUCACUGACUGAAGAUCUUCCUAUUUUUGAUUAUUACUCUUUAC